AUGAGGCGUUUUCUCUUUGUUUCUUUCCUCUCCAUUUUCUGCUCCUUCCUUCAAUUCCAGAAACCUCCCUUGUGUUUCAGACUGUGCAGUGACGCCCUCCCUACCUCAGGCCUCUGGAGCCUUUGGAGCAGAAAGAUCCCAGGAGCUGAGGAGGAAUCCAGGGAUGCAUUCAAAUGGCAGCUGUUUACAGGUCAUGGGCUGCUAGUUCAUGAGCAAGAGCAGAGCCUCUGUAAGUUUACCAACCAUAGAGCUUGUUAUGUCUGCAUCUAACACUGGAAGGAACCAUUGAAUCCAGCCCCUUCCUUCAUUGGCUAAACCAGACAGUCUCUGCAUAAAAGAAUAAAUGGACACAAAUCAGAUGUCAAGAAUUAUAACAUUCAAAAGCCAGUCAGAGAACACUUCAAUCUCCCUGGUCACUCGAUUACAAACCUAAAAGUCGCAAUAUUACAACAAAAAAACUUCAAAAACA